rnacentral:ncRNA from 1 species
UUCCUGUGCAAAAGCAGGAGUAAUAACAUAGGACAAGAAGACCCUGUGGAACUUAAAAAUCAUUAGCCACCCCAAACAUCCCAACAUCCCUCACUGGGGUCACAGACUAACCGAAACUUGGCUAACAUUUUUUGGUUGGGGCGACCUUGGAGAAAAACAAAUCCUCCAAAAACAAGACUUCACCUCUUGAUCAAGAACAAGCCCUCAACAUACCAACAGUAACCAGACCCAAUAUAAUUGAUUAAUGAACGAAGCUACCCCAGGAAUAACAGCACAAUCCCCUCCAAGAGCCCAUAUCAACACAGGGGCUUACGACUUUGAUGUUGGAUCAGGACAUCCUAGUGGUGCAGCCACUACUAAGGGUUUGUUUGUUCAACAAUUAACAGUCCUACGUGAUCUGAGUUCAGACCGGAGUAAUCCAAGUUGGUUUAUAUCUAUGAUAAACUUCUCCUAGUACGAAAGGACCAGAAAGGUGGGGCCAAUACAACAAGCAUGCCCCCGCUUUAAAUAAUGAACCCAACUAAAUUAUGAAAAGAAUAACCACUCUCCCCUAGACAAGGGCAUUACACUAGCGUGGCAGAGCUCGG